rnacentral:lncRNA from 1 species
UCCAAUCAAAUAAGAUUUGAUAAAUAGCCUUUUAUAUUGGAUAAUAGGUAUUGUUCAACUUGUGGAAAAAAGCGAUAGUAGCAAAAGCAACAAUAUUAAUAUUGAUGGGGCCAGGCAUAUUGAAUCCAUUGAUAAAGAAAAUAGUGGCAUUAGCCAUGAUGAUUCACCUCUUGAACCAUCAAACAAGAGUCCACAUGUUUGUACCACCGAAUAAUGAAAUAUUGAAAGUGAUUCAACCAUGUCGAGCUACGAAUACACAAACCACCAACAAUCAAGUCACUACUCCAAAAACUAUGCUUCGAAUAAAUCUGAUAGAAGUUGCAAACCGCUCGACCAACCUUGUUCUGAUACCAUAUAGAAUGGCACACUAACAAAGUAGAUCAAUUAUGCCGACUCAAGAUCUAAAACA